UACGUAGGGUCCGAGCGUUGUCCGGAAUUACUGGGCGUAAAGAGCUCGUAGGUGGUUUGUCGCGUUGUUCGUGAAAUCCCUCAGCUUAACUGGGGAACUGCGUCUGAAACUGGCGGGCUUGAGUGCAGGAGAGGAACGCGGAAUCCAGGUGUAGCGGUGAAAUGCGCAGAUAUCGGGAGGAACACCAGUGGCGAAAGGCGGCUCUCUGGAACGGUACUGACGCUGAGACGCGAAAGCGUGGGGAGCGAACAGG
rnacentral:rRNA from 1 species